CAGGAGGGGGCCAAGCUGAGCCAGAAAAGCAAAAACUGAGCCAGAGCUUCCUGAACCUGUCCUUGGAGACGGUCUCAACCCCUGAAGAGUCUUUGCCCAGGAGCUUUGGAACCUGUUCCGGUGCUUCCAUCCUAGAACCACACCUGCCCUGGCCCCCAGCCUCGCCCUGCGCACCCUCCGGCAUGGCCUAACACUCCAGAAGGUCUACACAGCAGGUGCCUCGGCCCACCCUCACCUCACUCACCCUGUGACACCUUGAGCUCCAGCCUUGCUCCCCACCCCACCUGGGGUCCAAAUAGCCUCCCAUCACUGAAUUCAUCAGAUUCCAGGGUGAGAACAUUUACGACCCUUUUUUUUUUUUUUUUCACCUGCUGGUGUUUCUAAAUUUUCCAAACCCAACCUGUCUUGUGUAAGAAAUUAUAAAAGCUGUGCAA